GGACAGUAGAGAAGCACUCUAAGCACCAUAACCACUACAAUUCAGCUUAGUGUUUUUCAUGCAAAGGAUCUACCAGUGUCUUAUUAUAUUUGUCAAAAACACUCCUCUAGAUAUGUUGGUAAUGUUGAAUUUGCAAUUCUUGAUUACCAAUCUAAGCUAUUAAGAGCACACCUCACCAACAUACAUCUUUAUCGGCCACCAAUAGUCGUGACAUUUGUUUAAGCCUGGUAGGUACCAUCUAUGUACAACUUUGAGUUGAUUUUCUAAAUGUGUGGAACAUAAGGUCACACCUUGGAAGACCUCUCUUAUUUUGUACCAUGCUGGUUUGUUAACCCUUAAGGACCAAACUUCUGGAAUAAAAGGGAAUCAUGACUUGUCACACGUCAUGUGUCCUCAAGGGGUUAAAGAGUUCUGUGGGUGAGCUGAAUGUCCU